rnacentral:piRNA from 1 species
ACUGACAUUAGAGGCUGCCCACUGC